UACGUAGGGCGCAAGCGUUGUCCGGAAUCAUUGGGCGUAAAGAGCUCGUAGGCGGCCUGUUGCGUCCGCUGUGAAAUCCCGGGGCUCAACCCCGGGCCUGCAGUGGAUACGGGCUGGCUAGAGGCAGGCAGGGGAGAACGGGAUUCCUGGUGUAGCGGUGAAAUGCGCAGAUAUCAGGAGGAACACCGAUGGCGAAGGCAGAUCUCUGGGCCGUAACUGACGCUGAGGAGCGAAAGCGUGGGGAGCGAACAGG
rnacentral:rRNA from 1 species